AAGCAUAUCAAUAAGCGGAGGAAAAGAAACCAACAGGGAUUGCCCUAGUAACGGCGAGUGAAGCGGCAACAGCUCAAAUUUGAAAUCUGGCUCUUUCAGAGUCCGAGUUGUAAUUUGCAGAGGGCGCUUUGGCGUUGGCAGCGGUCCAAGUUCUUUGGAACAGGACGUCACAGAGGGUGAGAAUCCCGUACGUGGUCGCUAGCCUUCGCCGUGUAAAGCCCCUUCGACGAGUCGAGUUGUUUGGGAAUGCAGCUCUAAAUGGGAGGUAAAUUUCUUCUAAAGCUAAAUACUGGCCAGAGACCGAUAGCGCACAAGUAGAGUGAUCGAAAGAUGAAAAGCACUUUGGAAAGAGAGUCAAAUAGCACGUGAAAUUGUUGAAAGGGAAGCGCUUGCAGCCAGACUUGCCUGUAGUUGCUUAUCCGGACUUUUGUCCGGUGCACUCUUCUGCGGGCAGGCCAGCAUCAGUUUGGGCGGUUGGAUAAAGGUCUCUGUCAUGUACCUCCUUUCGGGGAGGCCUUAUAGGGGAGACGACAUGCAACCAGCCUGGACUGAGGUCCGCGCAUCUGCUAGGAUGCUGGCGUAAUGGCUGUAAGCGGCCCGUCUUGAAACACGGACCAAGGAGUCUAACAUCUAUGCGAGUGUUUGGGUGUCAAGCCCAGACGCGUAAUGAAAGUGAACGGAGGUGGGAACCUUUUAGGUGCACCAUCGACCGAUCCUGAUGUCUUCGGAAGGAUUUGAGUAAGAGCAUAGCUGUUGGGACCCGAAAGAUGGUGAAMUAUGCUUGAAUAGGGUGAAGCCAGAGGAAACUCUGGUSSAAACAMACAGCGGUUCUGACGUGCAAAUCGAUCGUCAAAUUUGGCAUAGGGCGAAAGACUAAUCG
rnacentral:rRNA from 1 species